rnacentral:rRNA from 1 species
UGGGGGAUAUUGCACAAUGGGCGAAAGCCUGAUGCAGCGACGCCGCGUGGGGGAUGAAGGCUUUCGGGUUGUAAACCUCUUUCGCUAUCGAACAAGGCCCGCUUAGGGUGGGUUGUGGGUAGGUGGAGAAGAAGCGCCGGCUAACUACGUGCCAGCAGCCGCGGUAAUACGUAGGGCGCGAGCGUUGUCCGGAAUUAUUGGGCGUAAAGGGCUUGUAGGCGGCUUGUUGCGCCUGCUGUGAAAACGCGGGGCUUAACUUCGCGCGUGCAGUGGGUACGGGCAGGCUUGAGUGGGGUAGGGGUGACUGGAAUUCCAGGUGUAGCGGUGGAAUGCGCAGAUAUCUGGAGGAACACCGAUGGCGAAGGCAGGUCACUGGGCCAUUACUGACGCUGAGGAGCGAAAGCAUGGGUAGCGAACAGG